rnacentral:ncRNA from 1 species
CACUUUAAUAUCAUCACACCUGUGAACGCUCAACUAUGGAUCAUAGCUCCUAAACUGCCAGUAGUUGAGUUUACAUUUUUCACUAUUUUAUGUUACUGUGGAUAUCAAAUAUGAUUUCAGCUCUACACCUCACUGACAUCACUUUCUGAAUAAGUGAAAUUGUGUUUUUUCCCUUCUCUUCCCCUGUUAAUCAUAAUCACACGAUCUGCUGGUUCAUUUAGACAAACCUGAGAUUCAUGAGGUGCUUUGCAUCUGACCACUUUGGUGAGUCUAGAUAACCUCGAGCCGAAUGCUGGCCAUCCAUGGUAAUGAUGUCUCAUUUGAAUGUCUGCCCUAUUAACUUUGUAUGGUACUCUACAUAUCUACUAUGAUGACCAUGGUAACAGGGAAUUGGGAUUCGAUUCCGGAGAGGGAGCCUGAGAAACGGCUACCACAUCCAAGGAAGGCAG